CGCAUCUGUGCAUGCAGCAUAUCAAUAAGCGGAGGAAAAGAAACUAACAAGGAUUCCCCUAGUAACGGCGAGUGAAGCGGGAAGAGCUCAAAUUUGAAAUCUUAAAGGGUUUCCCUUUACGAAUUGUAGUUUAAAGAAGUGUUUUCUGUUGAGGUUUUGGUAAAAGUUCUUUGGAAUAGGACAUCAUAGAGGGUGAGAAUCCCGUAUUUGACCUUUACUUUCAACUUUGUGAUACACUUUCAAAGAGUCGGAUUGUUUGGGAAUGCAGUCCAAAAUGGGUGGUAAAUUUCAUCUAAAGCUAAAUAUUGGCGAGAGACCGAUAGCGAACAAGUACCGUGAGGGAAAGAUGAAAAGAACUUUGAAAAGAGAGUUAAACAGUACGUGAAAUUGUCAAAAGGGAAGCGUUUGACACCAGUGUUGUUUUUCUGAAAAUCAAUUAAAGAACUGUUUAUGCUAAGCUGUUUAGACUUUAUCAGCUAAUCUGCUUAGUUUUGAGCUUUUCUUUAAUGCACUUUUCAGUUAACAAGUCAACAUCAAUUUCUUUUGCUGUAAAAAAGCUUGAGGAAGGUGGCUUGAGAUUCGUCUUAAGUGUUUAUAGCCUCUUGCCUAUGCAGUCGGAGAGAUUGAGGUCUGCAGCGUAGAUCCUUCGGGGCUAAAUGCAUUUGUGCUAAGUUAUAGCAUUUUAUAGACAACUUGUUGACUAUGAUUUGUCUUGUAGCUUACUCGCUUAUGUUAUUUUACCUACGCUUAGGAUGUUGAAUCUGUGCGAGACUAC
rnacentral:rRNA from 1 species